rnacentral:rRNA from 1 species
AACGAACGCUGGCGGCAGGCUUCAUACAUGCAAGUCGCGCGAUUAAAGCCCUUUCGGGGGUGUAUAAAGCGGCGAACGGGUGAGUAACAGGUGGAUAAUCUGCCUUUCGGUGGGGGAUAACGGCUGGAAACGGCCGCUAAUACCGCAUGUGGUUGUCAGGGCUGAGGCCUUGGCAAAGAAAGAGGCUUCACGGCCUCGCCGAAAGAUGAGUCCGCCCCCCAUUAGCUAGUUGGUGAGAUAACAGCCCACCAAGGCCACGAUGGGUAGCCGAGCUGAGAGGUUGAUCGGCCACACUGGAACUGAGACACGGUCCAGACACCUACGGGAGGCAG